rnacentral:rRNA from 1 species
AAAUUGAAGAGUUUGAUCAUGGCUCAGAUUGAACGCUGGCGGCAGGCCUAACACAUGCAAGUCGAACGGUAACAGGAAGAAGCUUGCUUCUUUGCUGACGAGUGGCGGACGGGUGAGUAAUGUCUGGGAAACUGCCUGAUGGAGGGGGAUAACUACUGGAAACGGUAGCUAAUACCGCAUAACGUCGCAAGACCAAAGAGGGGGACCUUCGGGCCUCUUGCCAUCGGAUGUGCCCAGAUGGGAUUAGCUAGUAGGUGGGGUAAGGGCUCACCUAGGCGACGAUCCCUAGCUGGUCUGAGAGGAUGACCAGCCACACUGGAACUGAGACACGGUCCAGACUCCUACGGGAGGCAGCAGUGGGGAAUAUUGCACAAUGGGCGCAAGCCUGAUGCAGCCAUGCCGCGUGUAUGAAGAAGGCCUUCGGGUUGUAAAGUACUUUCAGCGGGGAGGAAGGGAGUAAAGUUAAUACCUUU